rnacentral:sRNA from 1 species
GUAGGAGCGGCGGCGGCGGCCCAAAGCGGAGUGAAGGAGGGAGGCAGGGAGCCGGGGAGCCGGAACCGGAGUCGCAGCGGCGGAGACCCCUGUGCGGUGCGGAGGGGGCGGCGGCCCCGACUCUGACCCGCGCCGGGGGUGGGCCAUGGCGGAGAUCAGCGACCUGGACCGGCAGAUCGAGCAGCUGCGUCGCUGCGAGCUCAUCAAGGAGAGCGAAGUCAAGGCCCUGUGCGCUAAGGCCAGAGAGAUCUUGGUAGAGGAGAGCAACGUGCAGAGGGUGGACUCGCCAGUCACAGUGUGCGGCGACAUCCAUGGACAAUUCUAUGACCUCAAAGAGCUGUUCAGAGUAGGUGGCGACGUCCCUGAGACCAACUACCUCUUCAUGGGGGACUUUGUGGACCGUGGCUUCUAUAGCGUCGAAACGUUCCUCCUGCUGCUGGCACUUAAGGUGGCAGUCCCUGGCUUCUGUACCCCCAACCUGGGCUACCUCGGGCCGGGCCUGUCUUAGUCCGUUCCGCCCUCAUCUCCUACCGUGACCAGCCCCACCUUGGAGCUGUGUCACUGGUGAUGGACCGAUUCUGCUUUUGGGGGUGGUCAGAGACUUGAUGGGGGGUGAGGCCAGCAGGGCAGCAUUCUGGGAGGGGCAGAGGCUCACUGUUGUGAAUGUGGCAGGUCAUUGAUGCCACUGGUAGGAGAGGCAGUGUGGGGCCAGAUGACAAAGGGCCUGGGUGCCUUGCUAGGGACCCGGUCUGUGUCUGGCAGGUGAAAGAAGAGCCAUUAGGUUCAUAGUUGAGGGGAUGGGUCAGGUUUACAUUCUCUGGAGGGGUCCUGUGGGCCUGGGAGGUGGCUGAUGCCACACGAUUCAGGCAACAGGUGCCAGGAGUGUGCUGGGCAGUGGUUGUGAGGAUGGCAUGAAGCUGGUGGGCAUGAGGAGGUCAGAGAGGGAUGUGUGGAGAGACCGUCUAGGCGCCAGCCCCGGCUUGGUGGCCACUCCCAGGUUCGCUAUCCUGACCGCAUCACGCUGAUCCGGGGCAACCAUGAGAGUCGCCAGAUCACGCAGGUCUACGGCUU